AUGAUUUGACGAAAGAAAAUCUGUCUUAGCUUAUUAAAAAAAAAUUAACCUAGAAGUUAAAAGGCUUCUAUUUCCUAAAGGGACGACAAGACCCUAUAAAGCUUUAUUUAUAAUAUUUUUAUUUAUUUCAAUAAAAAAAUAUAAAUUUAUAAAUUCUAUUGGGGCGAUAGAUAAAUAAACAUUAUUAACUAUAACGUUUUUAACGAAAUUUAUAAAAUAUUUUUAAAACCUACAACAAGUUACUUUAGGGAUAACAGCAUAAUUUCUUUUUAGAGUCCUUAUCGACAGAGAAGAUUAUGACCUCGAUGUUGGAUUAAG
rnacentral:rRNA from 1 species